rnacentral:rRNA from 1 species
AUGUUUGAUAUUCAAUUUGAUAACAAAGUAACCUCGACCAAUAGUUUUUGGCCAUUUGCAUAUAGGUUGAGGGAGUGCUCCUUGCUUCGAGAAGUACUUUUGAUUAAAGCUUCUUCGAUGCCCCAUGAACACUCAGGGCUCGAGUCCUAUAUAUAUUCUAAAUGUAUUUAUGCAAUUUUACUCUGGUGCUUGCACAUCCAUGGAUCUGAAAGUAUUGCGGGAGCUCCCAUGAUGGACUAUGAUGAAAAAGUAUUUCUUGUUGCCUGUUCUGUUGUGGUGCAAGUGUCCCAUGAUGGACUAUGA